GGUCGUCUUGCCAUGUUCU
rnacentral:siRNA from 1 species